rnacentral:lncRNA from 1 species
ACUGGGCUACUAUUAGUAGCAAAAUCUCAUUAUUGCUACCAGUUUUUUAGCCUUUUGAUCAACUCUUUUUAUUAUUUCUAACCAUUAGAUUAAAUACUAUAACCCAGUGGGGACCACUCAACCCUACGGGGACCACUCAACUCUAACCGACUAAUAUCAUCAUGACCCUACAAUUUUUCAUCCAAGGGUUAAAAACUUGAUAGCAAAAAGAGGGUUUUACUAUUAAUAGUAUUCCAGCCUAAUUCUAUAUAUAUAUAUAUAUAUAUAUAUAUAUAUAUAUAUAUAUUGUAGCAUACCGAACUUCUAUAAUUAUGAAGUUACGGUGUAUGUUGGUUUGGAAAGUCAUUAAAAUGGUUCCGGUGAAGUUCGGGAGCAUUCGGGGGUUUUCGGUACGCGUCGGGCCUGAAAACGGAACCCGAAGAGCUAUGAAUGGACCUUGGCCGAAGUCCGGCAAGGCGUGGAUGAAAAUAUGGUUUAAAUGCGCUCGAAAAUAUGUUUUGGGGGUCUCGGUACGAUUAGAGAUGAAUCAGAGGCCCCAGGAGCGAAAACGAGCGAAAAUGGAC